rnacentral:snRNA from 1 species
UUAACUUUUGGCUAAGAUCAAGUGUAGUAUCUCUUAAAUCUGUUUCUGUCAGUUUAAUAUCUGAAAGGUCCCCUAUCAGGGGACCAUUUAUGAAAUUAUUUUUUGGAACGGGUGGAAUAGGGGCUUGCUCAGUCCACUGCACGCAUCGACCUGGUAUUGCAGUAUCUCCAGGAAGGAUGCACCUCUG